UAAGCCUAUUGAGUAUGGGCUGAGGCGA
rnacentral:piRNA from 1 species